AUUAAUUUAGUAUAAGAAAUACAUAAGGCUGUAAACUUUAAAAUACCUGUGAGGUAAUUAUUU
rnacentral:tRNA from 1 species